CAGCCGCCGCGGGAACACGAAGGGUGCAAGCGUUAAUCGGAAUUACUGGGCGUAAAGGGUGCGUAGGCGGUCAGUUAAGUCUGUCGUGAAAUCCCCGGGCUCAACCUGGGAAUGGCGAUGGAUACUGGCUGGCUAGAGUGUGUCAGAGGAUGGUGGAAUUUCCGGUGUAGCGGUGAAAUGCGUAGAGAUCGGAAGGAACAUCAGUGGCGAAGGCGGCCAUCUGGGACAACACUGACGCUCAUGCACGAAAGCGUGGGGAGCGAACAGGAUUAGAUACCCCAGUAGUCCCUGUCUCUUAUAA
rnacentral:rRNA from 1 species